rnacentral:other from 1 species
AUUUCCCUGGGGUGUUCGUCAGUUGGAUGCAAGUCCCUGAGCCGAUAAGCAAUACCUAAGGGUUAGUAUUUAGUAGCUAUUGAGCAAGCUUGGCUAGUACCGAGAAGCCUACGGUUAUUAUUGCUGAUCCGCCUUGAACCAGCUGGUUCAAGGGCCACACAUCCGCAACGGCACUCUGGGGUUCCC